rnacentral:sRNA from 1 species
AUCUAGCGCGCCAGGCCGAACCGCAGCUUCUUGGCUUAGGUACUUCUACUCACAGCGGCCGAUUCCGAGGCCAACUCCAGCAAUGGCUUUUGCAAAUCUGCGGAAAGUGCUCAUCAGUGACAGCCUGGACCCUUGCUGCCGGAAGAUCUUGCAAGAUGGAGGGCUGCAGGUGGUGGAAAAGCAGAACCUUAGCAAAGAGGAGCUGAUAGCCGAGCUGCAGGACUGUGAAGGCCUUAUUGUUCGCUCUGCCACCAAGGUGACCGCUGAUGUCAUCAACGCAGCUGAGAAACUCCAGGUGGUGGGCAGGGCUGGCACAGGUGUGGACAAUGUGGAUCUGGAGGCCGCAACAAGGAAGGGCAUCUUGGUUAUGAACACCCCCAAUGGGAACAGCCUCAGUGCCGCAGAACUCACUUGUGGGAUGAUCAUGUGCCUGGCCAGGCAGAUUCCCCAGGCGACGGCUUCGAUGAAGGACGGCAAAUGGGAGCGGAAGAAGUUCAUGGGAACAGAGCUGAAUGGAAAGACCCUGGGAAUUCUUGGCCUGGGCAGGAUUGGGAGAGAGGUAGCUACCCGGAUGCAGUCCUUUGGGAUGAAGGCUUCCUUCUCCGUGGCACCACUACACAUCAAUAUUCCUGGCAAUAUUCUUCAUCAUGGAGACUUUGGCAGUGACUUCAACCAGAUGAAAAGCCCCACCUCAUUCCUGAAUGAUUGAGGUGCUAGACUAUAGGAUAUGACCCCAUCAUUUCCCCAGAGGUCUCGGCCUCCUUUG